rnacentral:rRNA from 1 species
GACUCCUACGGGAGGCAGCAGUGGGGAAUAUUGGACAAUGGGCGAAAGCCUGAUCCAGCAAUGCCGCGUGAGUGAUGAAGGCCUUAGGGUUGUAAAGCUCUUUUACCAGGGAUGAUAAUGACAGUACCUGGAGAAUAAGCUCCGGCUAACUCCGUG